rnacentral:rRNA from 1 species
UACGGGGGGAGCAAGCGUUGUUCGGAUUUACUGGGUUUAAAGGGUGCGUAGGCGGGCAUUUAAGUCAGUGGUGAAAUACCUGAGCUUAACUUGGGAACUGCCAUUGAUACUAUUUGUCUUGAAUGUCGUGGAGGUUAGCGGAAUAUGUCAUGUAGCGGUGAAAUGCUUAGAUAUGACAUAGAACACCUAUUGCGAAGGCAGCUAACUACGCGAAUAUUGACGCUGAGGCACGAAAGCGUGGGGAUCAAACAGG